rnacentral:tRNA from 1 species
UGUAGCUUAGAGGUAGAGCAUUUGCCUCACAUACACAAGGUCCUGGGUUCCAUUCCCAGCA